CCGCUAGGCAUAUCUCCCCGCCGUUCCCCAUUUUUGUGGUCGCUAGCUACCCCUCUCCACCGCGUCAAGCCGGCCCUCGCUACGCUCAGGCGCUCAGCCGUGGCCGCACCACGCCCAGCUGACUCUACCGUCAGCGCCGCGCCUGCUGCAGCUGCCGCCGCCACCGCGCCUGCUGCAGCUGUCGCCGCCGCCAAAUCUCUGCCAGCAGGAUGCGGAGGCGUGGGAUUCGAAUUCGGUCGCCGGAUCCGCUCGAGCUCUAUCGGGCGACCCAGCGCAAGCCGUCUGAGGCGGAUGCGGAGGAGUGGGAUUCGUCUCCAACGGAUAGGUGGCCGCGGCCAUCCCGCGCCGGCGUUGACCGAGCAACGUGGGUCCCGCCGCCUCACCAGAUGAGCGGUUCGGGUGCUUUUCUUUCCCGGCGAGCUGCCCCGUGCUUGCCCCCAGAUGAGCGUCGGCCUGCCUAGGGGAGUAGUCGAAGAAGCGGGCGUCGCGCUCAUCCUCGCCUUCGCCCGAUGCGAGAACUCCCGCUCCGUGCGCCGCCGGCAGCUGGGAAAGAGCAUUGAUGGGAUGGUCAUGGAAGAUGAGGUCAAGAAGGUGCAGGAUGAACCUUGAUGGGAUGCUCAGGGAAGAUGAGGCCAAGGUGGAUACGCCCAUGAUGCAUGGAUGCAUUUAACAUGAUGGAUGAAUAGUGCUUUCGGUUGUUUGAAGAAUGUGAGUUUGACAUCAUAGGUUUCCAUUUUGUGAAGAAAACAUCAAGAAACUUCUUUUGUGAUGCAACUAAUGGGGAAAUACAAAAAUACAAAUAAUGUCGAUUACUUUGAGCCUUUGAGUUAGAAGGGCUGACCUGCAUGAGUACUCAUUGAGGAGCAAGAGAAUCAAAGACGACAUCCUCCGCGCAAUGGGCAAGCUAUUGGAGCCUGAUGAACAUUGCCUAGUUAACCAGCUUAACGGCAAGGCUCUCACUUAUGCUACAUUCAAGGACUAUCCUCCGUGUCCAAGUUUCUCAGAGAUGGAACGUGGUACAAUGUUCGUACUGUGUCUAACUACACCUUGCUGAUCAACGUUGGCGUUACAAUGGAGAUAAUGACAAAUGGGAUAUUUAAAGGGCCAGUACCGGGUUGUAACAAAUUUGGAGAAAGAGAGACAUGAUGAAGGAUAUACUAUAGCUUUGUGACAAUAAUCCCAGCCAACAAGAAUUUUGCUGUGGGGAACGCAUUCAGGUGACUGAGAUGAACUUGGUAUAUUCGACAGGCCUGCAAGAGAGUUGCAGUACCACAUGAGUACCCUGCACUUAUGGGCAUAUUUGGUGAGGGAAGAAUCACAGCUGGUCCAGCCGUCCAGGGGCUGUGCAGGGCGGGGGCGGCCGCGCGGGUGCUGGGCGGGAUCGUGGGCACUGGCGAUCUAGCAGCCUUGUGCCACACUGCGAGGGGGCAGGGCAGCCUCCUUGGCGCCCGCUACGUCGAUCGUGCAGGGAGGCGGCUGCGCGGUGGAGUGGCGCGAGGUUGGCGGCCGGAGAAGAAGGUGUUGGCGCGGUGGUGACGGAAGGCAGCAAGGCUCCUGCGCGAUUGGGCUAGGAGAAUCAAUUCAUUCCUUUCCUUCCUUAGGAUAUGCGUCCUUCCUUAGUAGAUGCGAUUGGAGUUUCCCGAUUGUCUGGGGACGAUUCGCUAGUCUCCAGGUGAAGCAGGUCAGUCAAUGGAAAUUGGUACGUGCACACCAUGGCGGUAUUGGAUCAAUUCUGGCUGUUAGAUUCAGAUUCGUGGGAGUAA